rnacentral:tRNA from 1 species
AAAACUUUAAGUUAAAAUUUAAACUAAUAAUCUUCAAAAUUAUAAAUAAUUAUAUUAAUUAAGUUUUA